rnacentral:rRNA from 1 species
GACGAACGCUGGCGGCGUGCCUAACACAUGCAAGUCGAACGGUGAACCGGGCUUCGGCCCGGGGAUCAGUGGCGAACGGGUGCGUAACACGUGGGCAACCUGCCCCCGACCUCGGGAUAACCCCGGGAAACCGGAGCUAAUACCGGAUACUCCGACCGAGCUUCAUGGCUUGGCCGGGAAAGGUCCGCCGGUCGGGGAUGGGCCCGCGGCCUAUCAGCUUGUUGGUGGGGUAACGGCCUACCAAGGCGACGACGGGUAGCUGGCUGAGAGGACGACCAGCCACACUGGGACUGAGACACGGCCCAGACUCCUACGGGAGGCAGCAGUCGGGGAAUUUUGGGCAAUGGGCGAAAGCCUGACCCAGCAACGCCGCGUGAAGGAUGAAAUCCCUCGGGAUGUAAACUU